AUGCGAGACAGUUUCCCCCUCACUGUGCUGGAGGGAGAAGACCCUGGGAUUUCUGAGCGAGGCCCAUGGAUGUUGAAGUCUUCCGGGGUCCCCGACUCCAUGCUCUCGCGCCCCAGUUACUAUGACGCCCUGCACAGCCGCAGCUCGGGGCACGCCCAGCGCCCUGCAGGACACUCGGCCUCCCCGGCUCAGCAUCUGCUUCGAGGGGCCCCCUCUGAGGCGGCGGGGUGGCGUGGUGGAUCACCGAGAUGUCAUCUUGGCCCACCAGGCCCACAAAAUCCACAGCACCCCCCAGGCCAGGAGGAAAGAAUGGGAGUGAGUAUGCCCGGGUGGUGGUGUUGGGGCGGGGUGGCCGGGGCGUGCGGCUGUACUGGGGAUCCCUUAGGGGUUAGGAUGUUUUUGGCAGGCUUUUUGGGGAGCAAAUUCAUGCAGAUGGAACACAUUGAUAAGGCUGUGCUGGCUUCUGAAAUCUCAAAAUCCUUCCCUGCUAAUUGAUCAAUAAUGGUUGCCUUAAGCCCCCUGGGCACCCCCAUCCGGCUCUGCAGAUCCCUGAGCUGCCUCACCCUGGGGCAACAAAGAGAUUAACCAUGGAUGUGGCAGCCAGGACCCAGCUCCCAGGAUUGUGAGUGUCCGCUCUGAUAGGUUGGCAAAUCUUCCUUCCUUCCUUCCUUCCUUCCUUCCUUCCUUCCUUCCUUCCUUCCUUCCUUCCUUCCUUCCUUCCUCCCUCCCUCCCUCCCUCCCUCCCUCCCUUUCCUUCUUUCUUUCUUUUUUUUUUUUUGAUGGAAUCUUGCUCUAUCACGCAGGCUGGAGUGCAGUGGCCUGAUCUUGGCUCACCACAACCUCUGCCUCCUGGGUUGAAGAGAUCCUCCUGCCUCAGCCUCCCAAGUAGCUGGGACCACAGGCACACGCCACCACGCCCAGCUAAUUUUUGUAUUUUUAGUAAAGACGGUGUUUCACCAUAUUGGUCAGGCUGUUCUCAAACUCCUAACCCCAAGUGAUCCACCCGCCUUGGCCUCCCAAAGUGCUAGAAUUACAGGCGUAAGCCACCGCACUCAGCCAGCAAAUGUUUCUGUUGAGAUGGCUGAGAAAUGCUGCUUUCUGGGGAAAAAGUGGGAAUCCCAUUUCUACUUCCAGUGUUGAGUUGAAAUCUGAGGGUUUAAGGGCUGGAGACAGAAGUGUGUGAAGGCAGAGCGGGACCUGGAUAGGGCUGAGAGUACGUGGUGGCGUCAGUUGAGUCUGGUCCUGGGUUCCCCUUUUUCUUUGUCAGUGACCCCAGCAGUGGGUCUUCUGGUGGGAGACAGUGGGGGUGGAACUGGCUCCGUCGUGUAGUUGCUGCUGGGCAAUGUUGGAUGAACGGCUUUCCUGAGCUGUUGCCGGGCAGCUCCUAAGAACUUGGGGUCUUGGCUGUUGGAGGGUUGAAGGUGGUUUGUGUGAAGGUUCAGUCUCAGGCCAGCCCCUAUGCAUCGUUUUUCCACACAGUGGGGGAGCUAGUGGGUUUUUUCUCCUCCCUCCUUCCCUCCGUCCCUCCCUCCCUUCCUUCCUUCCUUCCUUCCUUCCUUCCUUCCUUCCUUCCUUCCUUCCUUCCUUCCUUCCUUCCUCUUUCUUUCCCUCCCUCUCUCCUUUCUCUCUUUUCUUUCCUUUUAAGACAGGGUUUUUCUUCUCUCUCUCUCCU
ensembl:lncRNA